AUAUUCCGUCUCAUCUUCAUUCUUGAUAAUGUGCUUUGAUCUGAGCUGAAUCCUGUGGGCAGAGCACACAGCCCUGGGGAGAGCCAGUGCUCAUGCGAUGACAGAUGUUGCUGUCCACACAGCCUGACUGUGGCCUUUCUGUAAAGAAGUUCAGCAUCCAGUUGCAGAGGGAGGUGAGGACAGUUUCCCCACCAGUUUCUGGGUGUGAUGGUGCUCAACAUUGAACUAUAAACAGCAGUUGGGCAUAUGAGACCCCAUUUUCCAGCUGGGAUAGGCAGAGUGCAAUGUUGGGGCUAUUGCUUCGUCAGUAGAUCGAUUUGUCGGAUCAGCAAACUGGAAAGGGUCUAACGGAACAGGAAUAAAGGCUCCAUGACCAGCUGCUUGCUCAAAGCAUUUCAUAAUGGCUGAUGUUAAGGCAGGUUACUGUCACCUUCUUUGGCACUGGGAUGAUGAUGAUUGAUUGCUGCCUUGAAAACUGAGAAGAUUUGAGCCAAGUGUCCCUCCCUGGAAGAAGGAUCAUUAGCUGGGCUAAGUUGGAGAGAAUGAUGGAGCUCAGAGGCAGGAAGAUUGAUUCAAUGUCUCAAAUCCCUGCCCAUCCCUGCUAACUUCACACAGGAGCCUGGUGUCCCUGCACUAUCAGAAUUAUGAAUCCUCCCCACCGGGGGACCCGAGACCUUAGUUAUGUAACCAUCACUUCGUGGUUGGGGACCGUGCAAAAAGUUAAUACUCUGUUGGACACAGACUUGAAAUGUAAGUGGACACCGAUUAGUAUCACUUGCAAAUAGGGGGGUUGAAGAGGGAAGGUAGGAGAAGCACGGACAACAAUGGCCUGAAUGGUUCCUGGGUACCAACUACCGAUGGAAGCCAGAGUACUGAUAGCUCCAUUAUCUGAGCAUUUCAUUGGAAUGGAUGUACUGUGGGGACAGACAGUGUAGACCAGUUUGGGAAAGUUCACAAUUGGCAUUUUAAAAGCAAGUGUUUUCAUGCAAUUAAUGAAGUGGGAGUCUCUUACAACACGGCAACCUCGUGCCAUGGUUUGUCUCAAGCAGUACUGAAUAUCAGGAGGACAUCCGGAGGUCUCAGAUACCAUCACACAGUUGUUAAAAGACGAUGUGAUCAGGCCAGCAACCUCGGAGUAUACCAGUUCUGUUGGCCAGUCACAAAGUCGGACAGCAGCUGGAGGAUGGCCGUUGCUUUAUCGCCAGUUCGGUAAACACACGUCUCCAUUGCCUGCUGCUGUCCUGCCCGUCCGCACAUGUCUGAAAGCUGACGGCCGGCUCGGCUACUGUCGCUGGAAAGCCAGUGCCCAGGGGUGGAGAGUUGCUGCUGAAUCCAGUCACAGGAAGUUUUGCAGCCACGGGGAGAGGGCAUUUCCAGCCAGGGUACUGAACUGGUAGUCACCUCAUGGCAUAAAACAGAUCAGCUGCUCAUAUACACAGUCUCCUGGGCAGAGCAGAGGCAAUUGAGAUGUCUGUGUGGUUGACAGAGUGGAAGCAGAGAACUGGCAGAUAGGAGGAAAGCCCUUGUGGGGGGUCAGCCGCUUGGGGAACAAGAUCUGGGAAGAAGCCCAAUCAAAGGAGAUUACUGUUUCUUGCAGGCGCCCAGCAUGAAGACCCACCCUCUGUCAACCACCUUUAAUAGUAAAGUGGAGCAGUUAGCAGGAGUAAACUUAGAAUAAUGUCCCAGAAUACUGUGAGAUGGGGCAAAGGGCACAUAAAACGCUAGACAUCUGCAGAAGGGCAUGCAUGAUACAGUCGAGGGAGCUAAGUGACGAGGUAUGACGGGGAUCCGUGCUGGGUCCAUUGAUAUUUGUCAUCUAUAUGAGUGAUCUGGGGGAUAACGUGGAUAACUGUAUGGGGAUAUAGUGGACAGCAAGGAAGACUAUCAUGGCUCGCAGUGGCAUGAUGCACUUCGGUAGGACCCGUCUGGGUAGGUCAUACGCAGUGAACUGUAGGACUUAUAUAGGUCCACAAUUCAUUGAAAGUGGCAUCACUGGUUGAUAGGGUUGUAAAGAAAGCUUUUGGCUCUUUGGCCUUCAUAAAUUCAAAGUAUCAAGUACAGGAUAUGGGAGAUGAUGUUGAAUUUGUAUAAGACAUUGGUGAGACCUAAUUAGGAGAGUUGUGUGCAGUUUCAAUUGGCUACCUACAGGAAAGAUGUAAAUAAGGUUGAAAGAGUGCACCAGGUCUGAGUCUUAAGGAAAGAUUGAAUAAAUUAGGACUAUAUUCCUUGGAGUUUAGAAGAUUGAGGGGAGAUUUGAUAGGGAUACACAUUAUGAAGGGUAUAGAUAGCGUAAGUGCAAGCCAACGGGCUUUUCCACUGAGGCUGGGUGGGACUGCAACUAGAGGUCAUGGGUUAAGGGUGAAAGGUGAGAUGUUUAAGGGGUACAUGAGGGGAAACUUCUUCAGUUAGAGGGUGGUGAGAGUAUGGAACAAGCUGGCAGCACAAGUGCAUGUGAGCUUGAUUUCAAUGCUUAAGAGAAGCUUGGAUAGGUACAUGGGUGGUAGAGGUAUGGAGGGCUAUGGUCCGGGUGCAGGUUGAUGGGAGCAGGCAGUUUAAAUGAUAGACUGAAGGGCUUGUUCCUUUGCUGUACUCUUCAUAUGCCAGGUGUGGCAGAUUGAUUACAUUGGACUCCUGCCAGAGUAGCAAUGAUUUAAAUACUUGUGGACAACUAUUCAGGUCUUUUAACGGCAAUUCCUAAGGCUUUCAUUGGUUGUAUCAUGUACCCUAUUCCCCCCCAAACAUCAGGACUUAUCGAAAGGAUGAAUGGACUUUUAAAACAACAGAUUGAUUUAUGGACACCAAGCCACACCUUGACUAUACUAUCCCAAGCUUUGUACAACCUUAACAACAGACCUUUAUUCCAAGGAUCACUGAAGACCAGGUUGAUCAGGUGUACCGCAGGAUUCGAGGAGGAAACACACUGAAGAGAAAGCUCCCAUGUCAGGAGGGAACAUUCCAAAUUCUCCAGGGGGAGAUUGUAGCACACGAAGACGGUGACACUUCACUGGGUUUCAGUACAGAGGAAAGAUAAUCUGGUGAGAAUAGCCAUCCUGGAAUUAAUCUUGUCAAAGGCAUGGACCUUCCCGAGUAAAGGUCACCGUCUGGUCGUGCAGUGAAAAAACAUACAAAGACCUGCUCUGCAAGUAGAAGCAGUGACACAUUGAAAUGUAUUAGUGAUUAAUUGUCAAACACGAGGAAAUCUGCUGAUGCUGGAAAUUCAAGCAACACACACAAAAUGCUGGUGGAACGCAGCAGGUCUGGCAGCAUCUAUAGGGAGAAGUGCUGCCAGGAUGAAGGAUUUCUGCAGCCUCCUGAGGAAGUCAAGGCGGUGCUGAGUUUUCUUUGCUGCAGCGUCUACGUGGUUGACCAGGACAGGCUUUCGAUGAUGCUCACUCAUAGAAACAUGGAACUCUCAGAAUCAUGAUGAAGAACACCACUGAUGUCUUGGAGACAAUGACCAACUCUUUUGUUUUGCUGAUAUUGAUUGUUGUCCUCCACCAUGUCACUAAGCUCAAAAUGUCCAUCCUGUACUCUUAUUGAUGUUUGAGAUGCAGGUCACUAUGGUGAUAACAUCUACAAGCUUGAACCUGCCCAUCCAGGGAAUGCUGAAGGCCGAACCUUGUGGAGCACCAGUGUUUAUAAUAAUGGUGGUGACAUUAGACAACGGGAAGCUGAAGAGUUGGGACCAACCACUGUGAUGUUGGAGGAGCUGACUGGCUUUGGUUCAAAUAAAACUAUCGGAAGUGACAGCUUACCAGUUGGGUUGUAUUCAGCUCCGUGGGACUGGAUGAGCUCAGACCUACUGAAAGUGUACAAUGCUAUGCUUCUAGCCAGCAACAUCUCAUACUCCAUAAGGAGGGGCAUCAUUGUCCUCAUCUAUAAGCAGAAGCAAGAAAGGGAGGGUCAGGUCUGGUCUAGGACAUGGGACAGGUGAUCCACCCAGAUCAAACCUGUGCUGU